rnacentral:rRNA from 1 species
CCUACGGGAGGCAGCAGUGAGGAAUAUUGGUCAAUGGCCGGAAGGCUGAACCAGCCAUGCCGCGUGAAGGUCAGUGCCCUAUGGGCGUUAAACUUCUUUUGUGCGGGAGCAAUAAUGGUCACGGGUGGCCAGACGAGAGUACCGUACGAAUAAGCAUCGGCUAACUCCGUGCCAGCAGCCGCGGUAAGACGGGGGAUGCAAGGUUUAUCCGGGUUUAUUGGGUUUAAAGGGUGCGUAGGCGGGUUGUUAAGUCAGCGGUAAAAGCCCGGGGCUCAACCCCGGCGAGCCGUUGAAACUGGCUGUCUUGAGAUGACGAGAGGUAUGCGGAAUGCGCAGUGUAGCGGUGAAAUGCUUAGAUAUUGCGCAGAACUCCGAUUGCGAAGGCAGCAUACCGGCGCCCGACUGACGCUGAGGCACGAAAGCGUGGGGAUCGAACAGGAUUAGAUACCCUAGUAGUC